CUUAUACUCCCUCCGUUCCAAAUUACUCGUCACAGAAAUGGAUGUAUGUAGAACUAAAAUACAUCUAGAUACAUCCAUAUCUGCGACAACUAAUUCGGAACAGAGGGAGUAUAUA
rfam:Triticum urartu cultivar G1812 contig891566, whole genome shotgun sequence.